GGUCUACGGUUUGUGCCAUUAGGUCAAUCAGCCAGCUCUGGCUAGUUUAUCUGGUAUGCAAAGAGCCAGAGCUGGCUGAUUGACCUAAUGGCACAUUAUAGAC
rnacentral:pre_miRNA from 1 species